AGGGAGAGCUUUGUGACCUUCACUCAAUGUUAUACACUGAUCCUCAAUUUCAGAAUUGUCUCUUUUUUAUUUCAGCACCUCUAGAACAUGUCUUUCAGAGGAGGAAUGUUACUGAGCUAAUGCACAGACAUGCUAUACCUUGUGAAGAAUAAAGACACAUACACUUAAGUGAGGGCAUAAUUCAUGAGAAGCAAGGGUCACAUAUUUUGCACUGAUAUUGCAUGUAUAUAGUUUCAGGAGGUCCCAAGUGCCCUCUUUCGUUUGCAUGCAAAGUUGUUACGUUUCCUCAGUUAAGCAGCUACAGGUAAUGGUGUGAAACCCUUUAUCU